rnacentral:lncRNA from 1 species
GACGUAAAUAAUCAGCGGCCAACAUUUUUAGAAUUGGAGCCAAUUACUUUACGCGAGCACAAGGCUACAGGAGAUAUUAAGCUGUGCUUUAAUGAAAGACACAUAUCAGAGAAGAAAGUAUGUAAAUAUCCUGUGGCGGCUGAAGAUUCAGACUGCCUACCUGAAUAUAACACACCACAUUUCUGGAUGGAUAACGAUGAUAGCAGAUUUCAAAUUAACACGACAACAGGAAUUAUCAGCAUAAAAAACGGAAGUGUUAUAGACUACGACGAACCUCAACGAGACAGACAAUUUAAUUUCACAAUUUAUGCGUCAGAUACAAAACAUACAGCGAGUGCCGUACUUACCUUGAAUAUUCGUAAUGCUACCGACAGUUUGCC